GCUAGCGUUGUUCGGAAUUACUGGGCGUAAAGCGCGCGCAGGCGGCUAUCCAAGUCAGUGGUGAAAGCCCGGAGCUCAACUCCGGAACUGCCAUUGAAACUGUUUAGCUUGAGGAUGAGAGAGGUGAGUGGAAUUCCCAGUGUAGAGGUGAAAUUCGUAGAUAUUGGGAAGAACACCGGUGGCGAAGGCGGCUCACUGGCUCAUUACUGACGCUCAGGCGCGAUAGCGUGGGGAUCAAACAGG
rnacentral:rRNA from 1 species